GGGGACAUGACUGGAGUGAAGGACAUCUGAUUUACCUUGCUGCAACUGCAACCUGGAUACGUGGCUGAUUCUGCUGCCUGUCUUUGUAAGGCAGAAGAGAUAAGUCUGAAAAGAUAAAGGGUGCCCUUCCAGUGAAGAAAAUGCGAUGCAGUGCCAUAUAGGCCUUACAUGCUAGAAAAGGG